rnacentral:rRNA from 1 species
UACAGAGGGUGCGAGCGUUGUCCGGAAUCACUGGGCGUAAAGGGCGCGUAGGUGGCGGCCCAAGUCCAUGGUGAAAGCUCGAUGCUCAACAUCGAGUCGGCCACGGAUACUGGGUUGCUCGAGCACUGUAGGGGCAGAUGGAAUUCCGGGUGUAGCGGUGGAAUGCGUAGAGAUCCGGAAGACACCGGUGGCGAAGGCGGUCUGCUGGGCAGUUGCUGACACUGAGGCGCGACAGCGGUGGG